rnacentral:lncRNA from 1 species
GGUUAAAGCUGGGGAAUAAUGGGGCCAGGCGCAGGGGAGACCAUGGGGGGGGGAAACCUCCCCUGGCACAGCGGGCACGGCGCGAAGCAAAGCUUGCACCCCUGGCCCAGUCCCCAGGGACACCGGGUGCUCCGGCACCAGCACCCUGCGCCAAGCCCCUGCACAGGGGCCGGGGGAGCAGCUCUUGCAGCGCCCCCGUUCCCUGCGCUGCGCCAGCUGCCAGCGGGGCUGGGGACAAGCUCAGCGCACGGGGGUCUGGCCGAGCCCUUCACCCCUGAGGGUCACCACCAUGGUGGGGCUGCGCUCUGCCUGUGGGCCGUGUGCUCUGCCAGCCACAGCAUUGCACAACUGGCAAAUAUUUCAUCAUGGAGGUGGUGAGGGGCUGUGCAGGGGAGCAGGGAGGUGGCAGCGGGUGGUCUGGCGCUGCAUGGGAGGACAGGGACUGUGGCACAGGGUGGUGGCUCAAGGCACAGGUGGAAGGCAGGGGAAGGAUGUUGUUUGCAAACACAGCCCAAAUCACAGCUGCGGAUUGUGUGUCCGAACAGGGAUGGACCAGGAGAAGCUGGGGGUGACCUGGGCACGGCAGCAAUCCUGUCCCCAUCCUGGAGCAGUGGCAAAGGGGGCUGGCCGGCUAUUUGCCCAUCGGAUCCUGCUCACUGGGGUGCUCCCUGCCUGCACCUCCCUGCCCACACUCCUACCACCCGGCCAGACCUGGGGGCACUUACGCAGCCACCAAAGCAACCCUGGGCAGCAGCGGGCUUGGGCAGAACCGGUAACAGAUCUUCUCUCCACAGGUGGCGAGCAGCGGGCGCCGGCACCGGCCCCACCGACCCUGCUCAGGGUGCUUCUCCGUCCUGAGCGAGGUGAGAGCCAGGAGGGAGGACAAGGAACCAGCAUGGCCUGCAAGACACCCUGGCAGCGUCCCACUGCUGCGGCAGGUGGUGCUGAAGCCCUGGCUGGCGCGGCGAGGAGCAGUGCUGCUGGCUGGGCACAGCCCCAUACCAGGAGAGAGCCAGGGACCCGGCCGCCCCCAGGCUGUGCCAUGGGGCACAUCCACCCACUCCCAGCUCUGAGGCAGCCAGGGGGGCCUGUGCCCCCCCCUCGGGCACAAAUGAGCCUGUGCCUCUGCAAGCUGAGCCCUGCUGACUGCCAUGUGUGCCCCCAAAGUGCUUCGCGGAGCGGCCCCCCCUGCCCCCCUUUGCCAAGCCACCAAAUAAAACUGGUGAGCCAGAGGGAGUGAGUGGGCCUGCGGGGGGACAUGGUGGGUGACCCUCUAACAGGGCAGCCCCGGCACUGAGGAUGCUGCUUCCACAGCGGCCCAGCUCCCACACCACCAGGGUGGGGUGCCCACCCCAGGGGCACCUCUCGUCCCCAGGGAUCCCCUCGUCAGUGUGGCCGGGACCCAGCCCGAGGUCGUGCCCCACUGGUGCCGGCACGAGUGGCUGCAGACACAGACACAGACACACCCACACACGGUGCCCUGGGGACCCUCUCGGCAGGGGGACAGGGUGGCAGCAGGAUGAUCCCAUCCUGCUCGGCCCCUGCUCACAUCCCUCCUUCCCCCAGCUGGUGCUGCCUGCCCCAGCCCACAGAGGGACCUGCCCCAGCAAGCACUGCCCCUCGCCCCCAGCGCCUGCCCCAGCACCCCCAAAACCAGGGCCCCAACCCCUGCCUAAUUAGCAUGAAUGAAGACAGUAACCAGAAGCAAAUGGGUGCAGCCACAUGGCUCAAUGGGCUACCAGGCAAUGGCAGUAACUGGGACAUGACAGGUGAUCGGGCUGUAACCGNUGCUGACUGUGCGUCCUGUCUGUGUGUCCUGUCCCCAUGUCCUGUCUGUAUGUUCUGACCUGGCCAUGUGUCCUGUCCACGUGUCCUGGCCGUGUGUCCCUGGCACACAAGCUCAGCUUUGCUGCUGGCUGACUCUCUGGUGGGGAAGGUGGCAGCCACAUCCCCCAGCUGGGGCAGAGACCCCGGGCACUGGGCUACAGCAGCUGGCCAGGGAGGUCCUGGCUGGGGCAACUGGGGACAGCGGCUCCUGAUGUCCUGUAGGAGCGGCCGUGGGGCUGUUGACUCUGACCAGUCCCAUCCCUGUCCCUGUCCCCAUCCCCAUCCCCACCACGGUCCAGGGGGCUCCCGCCAGCAGCCAUGGGCUGCAGAGUGGUGGCAGUGGUGGUGGUGGUGGUGGGAUGGUGACACACCACCAGCCCAAGAGCGCACAUGGGAAAGGUCACCACAUCACUCAGCAGUGAGGGCUCGGCACUGACAUGCCAGGCAGUGCCGUGGACCCAUGGUGGGCUUGGUGCCGGCACGGGGCUGGGGUGGGGGCAGCAGCUCUGCAGCACUUGCAGCCCCUCUCCUGCCUUCGCCCCUUGGGCACCCACUUCACAGCACAGUGGCGAUGGGCUGCCUGAGCCAAGAAGCUGCCUGGUGCAGGAGGUGGAACACGGUGUCAUCCACCCGCUCCAGUGAGCACAGUGUGCCCGGGGUGGGAGCACAGCAUGGGCAGGGU